CUCCGUCAUGCUACACUAUACUGGGGUGAUGGGGGGGUAAACAUGGUGGAGGUGCUCCGUCAUGCUACACUAUACUGGGGUGAUGGGGGGGUCAACAUGUUGGAGGUGCUCCGUCAUGCUACACUAUACUGGGGUGAUGGGGGGGUCAACAUGUUGGAGGUGCUCCGUCAUGCUACACUAUACUGGGGUGAUGGGGGGGUCAACAUGUUGGAGGUGCUCCGUCAUGCUACACUAUACUGGGGUGAU